rnacentral:lncRNA from 1 species
GGAAAUAGUGUUGAAUGUUGUGUAAUUGGAAUCUUUGUGGGCAGGACAAUAGGGUGCUCAACACCACUGAGUGGUUAAUAGCUUUUGCGAUGCUUGUUGAGGCUUAUUCAUCGUAGCGGUUAAUAGCUUUUGCUCUCCAUUCAUCCUGUUGAAGGUUUCAGAACCUGCAUUCCUACUAAGCUUUUCUAGUCCAGCAGCAUUCAGAUUGAUGCAUGUAGUUUAGAUCAAUAUCCCUCUUCAUGCUUUGCUUUUGAAAUGCACCAGAUUGGUGUGAAGUUAUGUCCAUGCUACUACUAGGAUACUGAGAAGAAACAACCUUUUUGGGAAAAUCAUAUACUUGGGAAUUUGAACUCUAGGAUGCCCAGAUGCGAGAAGCUUCUUCAUCCUGAUGUAGGAUAUUCUUGUGUAAGCUACAUCCUGCAGAGGCUUCAUAAGUACCAUUAGGAGAUCCACGCUCUUGAUAAGCCCCGUUCAACCUGAAACUUCGAGCACUACGAAGCUGAAAACCAAUAGGUGAAAACUGGAAUCCACUUGAUGGCUUCUUUUGGGACUGGUAAACUUCAAUUCCAAAAGGGGAUUGAGGUAGACAGAUACUAUUCAUGCCCAAAUUGUUUCCAUCAAAUGGAACACGUAAAAUGUGGAUAAGAUGACUUAGAUAAGUUUUUGAUAAUUAGGUUCUGAAGCUAUGUUGUUCUUCUUCCUUGUUGAAGGCAAUUAAUUCUUGUAUAAUUUGGUUCAGAUAUGAUGACUGCAGUUCGGGUUCCAACUUGCAUCCACCUAGUAGAUCAUUGCUCUCUUUUGAAACCUUCUUAAUUGGCUUCCCUGUUAAGUUAGAUCAUGUCAAUGCAUAUUCAAAUGCUGUAGUUAACUCUGAAUUCCUCUAGUAAUUUAAUUCAGAACAUAAUGGUUUCACUUAUGAUUGACUAUGUUCAUUACUCACGUCUUAUUGUGUUAGGGACUAUUUUUGUUUAGAUUUGUUGUUGUUGUUAUUAGUAUAUGUCAUUAGCAUCUGUUUUAGAAUGUUAUAAGAGGAGUCUGGUUCAGUAGUUGGUUGAAAACUGGUAGAGAUCUGUCCACACAACAUGUGAGAAUUGGUAUAUGUCUUGAGAGUUGUAGCACUUGAGUUCAAGAUCUAGGCUGUGCAUUAUUGGAUAUGCUGGAUUUAAAAAAGGAAUUAUGUUAGUUUUCCAAUUCUUUUCUAUUAUGUGAAACGCUUGGGGAUAUUUUUUUUGACUUUUCAAUGCUGCAUUUUUGUAAUAUCAUAUAUCAUAUACAAUUCUGUGUUCCUAUUUAUAAAGAUAUUUUGGGUGCAAUUUUGAUGGCCAUUUAAGAAAUAUUCAAAGUUCAAACUAAAUUUUUCCCUCCUUGUAUAGUAGAAAUACUUUUUGGCCUUCUAAAUUUUAUUGAUUUGAUGUUGCGGGUGUAAAAGUUUUCUAUGGUCUGUCAUGAUUGCAGUUCUUAUGGGCACUGUUGUUGUUUGCAGUUAAAUGCUGAUAAAAG